rnacentral:rRNA from 1 species
AUUGAACGCUGGCGGCAGGCCUAACACAUGCAAGUCGAGCGGUAGAGAGAAGCUUGCUUCUCUUGAGAGCGGCGGACGGGUGAGUAAUGGCUAGGAAUCUGCCUGGUAGUGGGGGAUAACGUUCGGAAACGGACGCUAAUACCGCAUACGUCCUACGGGGGAAAGCAGGGGACCUUCGGGCCUUGCGCUAUAAGAUGAGCCUAGGUCGGAUUAGCUAGUGGUGAGGUAAUGGCUCACCAAGGCGACGAUCCGUAACUGGUGUGAGAGGAUGAUCAUUCACACUGGAACUGAGACACGGUCCAGACUCCUACGGGAGGCAGCAGUGGGGAAUAUUGGACAAUGGGCGAAAGCCUGAUCCAGCCAUGCCGCGUGUGUGAAGAAGGUCUUCGGAUUGUAAAGCACUUUAAGUUGGGAGGAAGGGUUGUAGAUUAAUACUCUGCAAUUUUGACGUUACCGACAGAAUAAGCACCGGCUAACUCUGUGCCAGCCGCCGCCGUAA